rnacentral:rRNA from 1 species
CGAACGCUGGCGGCGUGCUUAACACAUGCAAGUCGAACGGAAAGGCCCUGCUUUUGUGGGGUGCUCGAGUGGCGAACGGGUGAGUAACACGUGAGUAACCUGCCCUUGACUUUGGGAUAACUUCAGGAAACUGGGGCUAAUACCGGAUAGGAGCUCCUGCUGCAUGGUGGGGGUUGGAAAGUUUCGGCGGUUGGGGAUGGACUCGCGGCUUAUCAGCUUGUUGGUGGGGUAGUGGCUUACCAAGGCUUUGACGGGUAGCCGGCCUGAGAGGGUGACCGGCCACAUUGGGACUGAGAUACGGCCCAGACGCCUACGGGAGGCAGCAGUGGGGAAUAUUGCACAAUGGGCGGAAGCCUGAUGCAGCAACGCCGCGUGCGGGAUGACGGCCUUCGGGUUGUAAACCGCUUUCGCCUGUGACGAAGCGUGAGUGACGGUAAUGGGUAAAGAAGCACCGGCUAACUACGU